CAAGCUCCACUCUUAAUCUUUUAUUAAGGGUCUACUCUUGACCCUACAUAAGCAACUUUUAUCUCUUCCAACAUCAUCCUUUGUUGUGAUGUGGACUUGUAACCUAAUCAUCUUUGAAUUCAUGAUUAAUUGAACAAGCAGAGGAACCUCUUCCAAACAUUUCUCCAUUUCCAGUUUGUCCAAACCAUAAAUUACUGCAUUACAAGGUUUGAAAGUUGAAGGUGAUGAGAGGAAACUGUGUGUGAAAACAAUUGGCUGACCUAAAUGCUUAAUGCUGGAGGGAAAGCUCUAGCAAUGUUCAUAUGUAUAUAUCAUGCUGUGCUAGUUGGGCAAGGAAUUAAAAUUGGCCCCAUAUCUCUUGCAGGGAAAGAACUUCUCACAUGCUAUAUGGGGCCCCAACUCGCAUGCAAAAGAAUUUAGUUCUUUUGCCCCAAACCACAUUUGUGUUCAUAUUGAACAUGUCAUGGAAAGUGAAGAUUCACGUUGCCAUUUCCAUCUACUUUUGAGGAAUAGCACAGGAACAAAUAACCAAUUACCAAUUUCCAAUUAUCGAUGAUUGCUUGAACAUCCUGUUAAAUACAACAUCCUGUUAAAUAAUUCACUUUACAUCAUGUGGAUGUCGCAGUGCUGCAUAUGAAGUGAUAACAAAGUGGGAGCCUGUUGCUUCCAUUAACAGAGGCAAAAAUAAAAAAUAGCAUAACAAAUAACAAGAGGGUAAAAGAUAAAGAGCAUCACUGUUAUAUCGAUGCAUCUUCUAUAACGAAAACUUGAAAUCCAGGCAACUGCUUGUAUCACUAGACAAAAAGUAAAAACAAAAACACAAAUUCAUCCAAAUCCUAUAGACUCAAAAGACUAGAAAGACUGACACUGUAGACCCAAAGGAUUGCUUCAAUGGUGGUUAGAAGGAAAAGGAGGCACAGGCAACUGAAAAGGGUAGAAGAAGGGAAAAAAAACAGAGAAGAAAUGAGCAACGCUUCCGCACCUGCUCCUAGAAGAAUGGUAUUGGGGGCUCUUUUCGAUGGAAGCAGGCCGAGGUUGAGAAGAAAAGAGAGAAGGGAAUGCUGGAAAUAUGGGUGUAACGAUAUAAUGACAUAGUGUAAAAAAUUGUACACUUGCCAAUAUAUAUUUGUAUGCAGAUAGUUCUGGAAAGAAACGAUGGCUUAAAAAAAAAAUGGCAGAAACUGAAUGGCCUAUUUGGCCAAAUUUAAUUGAUUGGGACUGUAUUAGCAUCCGCGUCCCCUUCUGCAUGAAAGAGCACCUGCAUUAUCAGUCAUUGAUCCGACCAUGGAAGAAGAUUUGGCACCCAAGCUUGAAGCACGAGCAUAGCUAGCUGAAGCUCCAGCUCCAGAUGGAGUGAAAUAAGCGCCAUUCAGCAAAAGGUCACCCUCUGACCUCCAAUUCCAGCUCUUCCAUUGGCUUGCAGCUGUAUCCACCCUCUUUGUCACCUCCUUUGCAAAGGGGUUGACUGGUGCAUUAUAUCUGUUGCCCUGGCUAUUGAUUGUGGGAUUUGCACUCCCACCAAUGGCAUACAUCUCCCAGUGAGUAUAGUCGUUGUUGACUACAUGGAAGUAUCCAUGUCUGCACCUGCAAUUUUCAUUAUUCAAAAUCAUUUAAGUUUGGCUAAAACUAGAGACAAUAAGCAAUUAUUGACAAAUAGAAAAGGUUAGCUUGAAUUUUACCUUGGCAUUCUCUGGAUGAGUCCCUCUCCAAAAUGGUUGUACGCGAUGGUCACUUGCAUUUGCUUGUCUCUUGUGUACGAAUCACUGUGGCCCAAUAGCAUCACCUCAUUGUGGUGAGUUAAGUGGUUGUUAGAGAUGGUAAUGGCUGUCGAACCCAUGACAGCAUCAACCAGGCCAUCAGCGCAAUGAGAAAGCGAAUUGUGGUCAACCCAUAUGUGACUUGAUCCAAAAAUAGAGAUGGCAUCACCAUCAGCCACUGUCCUCCACCCAUAGUGACUGGGUGAGCUCCUAACCAUAGCAUUGCCGGUGGGCUUGCAGUCAUGAAUGUGCAGACCAUGAAUGAUCACAUUCGUAAUAAAUUGAAUGGUGAUGCACCCUCCAUUAGCAAUGUGAACAUUGGCCCCGCGGCCAUCAAUAGUCUUGAAGCUGUUCAUGAUAAGUUCCUGCUUCAAUUGAAUCACCAUGUCCCUUUUGAACACAAUCCACAAGGGCUCAUCCUGGAUCACAGCGUGACGCAAAGUGCCAGGCUUUGGGUUCACAGGGUCAUCAUCACUGGGAUCAGUAACAACAUAGAAGCGACCAUCGCGGCCUCCUAUUGCGUUUCUGCCGAAACCAAUUCCACAUUCAGCAAGGCGCUUGCGAUUUUUCUGCCAGUUGGGGUCACAGCGCCAGCAAUCAUCAAUUGGAUUGCCAGUUCCACAUGAGAAAUAUCCAAGAUUCCUCCUUUCAGUACUGUUGCGGAUGCUCAUUUCCACCAUGGCAACCACCUCUUCAGGGUCAUCAACCGCGUGCUCAUUUUUCCAGUCUUCAGUCUCUUCCCCAGAACUUGCCGCCAUUGAUGAGUUCUUGGAGCUAGGGGACUUCUCUGUUUGCACAUUCCUGCAAAAUAAGAAUAAACGAAAAUUAGAGGACUUAAACAAGGCCUAAAAGGAAAA
rnacentral:misc_RNA from 1 species